CCUGACUCUUUCUCCAUGUCUCCAAGGCUGACUGUGGUUUGUGCAAGAAUAAACUGCCUGAGCCUUCGCUGACAUCUGAGGCCUUGACUCGUAAGAUGCUGCCGUGAGCCCUAGGUCCUCCUCUCUGGGCUCUGCAUCGCUGCAGAGUGAGCACGAGCUCACUGGGAAAGGGCACCUUCCCGGCGGGUUCUUCAUUCUUUCCAGGGAAGGCACAGGGCCACCUUCGCUCCCAGAUCCAGAUCCACCAGGGACUGACUCCCGUGUGUCUGUGGAUGAACACUACACCAUUUGCUCCAUUUUCUGAGAAUUUCUCAGUGGAUGCUUUAAAAACCAAGGAUGAAUUCAGCAUCUCUAUUUUAUGUGGAAGCUGUUCUCAGCAUCAUUUGUUUUCUUACUUGGGUGGAAAAGAUAGCUGGGUAGGUGUUUUCCUCCCAGGGCCUUCUGAAGAGUUUAAAAACAGAGACUUUGGGUGUUGAAUGAAAGGUCCCUAUUCUUUCCUAAAAUACUCACAGAAUCCCAUGACUAAUAUAUAAAUAAAGAUUGUUGUAUUAGUCACCCAACAAUGAAAGAAGAAAUCCUCCCACUUCUCAAAUGCUUCCUUUCAGAGUAACCUCAAUGACCUGACUGAUUCAUGGAACUAAUUUGUAACAAUAAUAAAGAUGAAGCGGGACCCCAGACAAGCUUUCAGAACUCCUCCAAAGACCCUCACUGCCUCAUCCCGCUCUCCCGUUCCUCGGCCUGCAGCUGAUGCCUUUGAGGAAGCCCCUGUUUGUACUGACAGUGGCCCAGAAACCUCUUCCCCUUGCUCAGACAAUUGCCCAUGUGGCCGCUGCCAACUUGGGGCUUCCUGGACUUCACAAACUCAGGAGGUCUGAGCUCAGUGACACCCUGCAUCGCCCCUGCUCCCUGGGCUCCUGCCCUGAACCACAGCUCCCUGCUUGAUGAAGAAGGGUCAGCCACCUCAAGGUUCACUUCCGGGCAGAGGCCACAUCUGUUAGGAAAGAAAAUAGAUGAAAAGCAUAGUUAGCAAGUGCCUGCUGUUGGCCAGGCACCGAGCUAGGAGGUGUCUUAUUCCUGUGUCAUCUUAUUUCAUCAUGUAAAUGGCCCUGUGAGGCAGAGAUGGUUGUUUGAAUUAUACAGAAGGAGAAACACAGAGUCAGAAAGAUGAAGAAACUUGCUGAAGAUUGUAUUGUGUUCCAGUGGUCUCCAAACUGGGGUAGGUCCACUCUAGUGAAGGUCCCUGGUUAAUUCCUGCUGAUUAAGCACUAACCACAUGAGACUCAUCCAGCUGGCCAGUUUCCAGAUGAAACUGUGGUGGGUAAAUUCUUUGGAAAAGAAAAUGGAGUCCAUUUCCACAUGACCACAGCAGUCACCCUGUUGAAGUGUACUGUGUGGGUCCAGAUGGGAGUGGAUGUUCAGCUCUCACUGGGCUCCACUGAUAUCAGCCCAGCCAGAGUGGAGUGCCAGCUGACCCCGCCUUGCUUUGCCUCACUCUGCCUUGUAGCUAAUGGGUGGGGGUGGAAGUCUUGCUUGGACUGUCGAUACCAGGAGUGGGGAGGGGGAAAAGGGACUGUGUUGUUGUGUAAUAAAGGAUUUGACUUUGUCCCUGGCUCCUGAGAAGGAGACUCUAAGUCUUUGGAAAUUCCCAAGUAAGAGGAGUGUCUUUGUUUUUCAUGAGCCCCUUGGAUCGCACCUUAGUUUAUGUUGAGAUGAGAGGGGUGGGAUUUGGAGCCAGCCUGACCUUGGGGAGAGUAGGGGGGAUGGAGAUUGAGUUGAGUCAUGUGACCAAUGAUUUACUCAACCAUGCCUAUGUCAUGAAACCUCAAUAAAAACUCUGGACACUGAAGCUCAGUGGAGUUACCUGCCUGGUAAACACAUUGAUUUGACCCACUCUGAUUUCAUGGGUUGAAGGCAUGGGAACUCUGCACUUAGGACCCCCCAGGAUUCACCUAUGUGUCUCUCCACUUGGCUGGUCCUGAUUUUUAUCCUGCGUAAUAAAAC
rnacentral:lncRNA from 10 species